GUUCCAGUGGCCUAGUGGUAUUAGGCAUCUGACCGGUAACCUGCAGGAGACCCGGGUUCAAAUCCGGCUGGGACA